UACAGAGGUCCCAAGCGUUGUUCGGAUUCACUGGGCGUAAAGGGUGCGUAGGUGGCGCGGUAAGUCGGGUGUGAAAUCUCGGAGCUUAACUCCGAAACUGCAUUCGAUACUGCCGUGCUUGAGGACUGGAGAGGAGACUGGAAUUUACGGUGUAGCGGUGAAAUGCGUAGAUAUCGUAAGGAAGACCAGUGGCGAAGGCGGGUCUCUGGACAGUUCCUGACGCUGAGGCACGAAGGUCAGGGGAGCAAACGGG
rnacentral:rRNA from 1 species